UACAGAGGGUGCGAGCGUUGUCCGGAAUCACUGGGCGUAAAGGGCGCGUAGGUGGCGACCCAAGUCGAUGGUGAAAGCUCGCCGCUCAACGGCGAGUCGGCCACCGAUACUGGGUUGCUGGAGCACUGUAGAGGCAGAUGGAAUUCCGGGUGUAGCGGUGGAAUGCGUAGAGAUCCGGAAGAACACCGGUGGCGAAGGCGGUCUGCUGGGCAGUUGCUGACACUGAGGCGCGACAGCGUGGGGAACAAACAGG
rnacentral:rRNA from 1 species